UUCUCAGUGGUGUAGGUGAUGAUGA
rnacentral:piRNA from 1 species